GGAUUAGAUACCCUGGUAGUCCACGCAGUAAACGAUGAAUACUAGCUGUAUGCGAUAUACUGUAUGCGGCACAGCGAAAGCGUUAAGUAUUCCACCUGGGGAGUACGUUCGCAAGAAUGAAACUCAAAGGAAUUGACGGGGGCCCGCACAAGCGGAGGAACAUGUGGUUUAAUUCGAUGAUACGCGAGGAACCUUACCCGGGCUUGAAAUGCAGAAGACGAAGAGUGAAAGCUUUUUUCCAGCAAUGGCUUCUGUGUAGGUGCUGCAUGGUUGUCGUCAGCUCGUGCCG
rnacentral:rRNA from 1 species